rnacentral:rRNA from 1 species
UACGGGGGGGGUAAGCGUUGUUCGGAAUUACUGGGCGUAAAGGGCUCGUAGGCGGCCAACUAAGUCGGACGUGAAAUCCCUCAGCUUAACUGGGGAACUGCGUCCGAUACUGGAUGGCUUGGAUUUGGGAGAGGGAUGCGGAAUUCCAGGUGUAGCGGUGAAAUGCGUAGAUAUCUGGAGGAACACCGGUGGCGAAGGCGGGUCUCUGGGCCGAUACUGACGCUGAGGAGCGAAAGCGUGGGGAGCGAACAGG